GAUCUCUUACCUUCCCGCCAGACGCCCUGCGCGGACCUCAUACAUUAAUAUAAUGUGGAGUAAUGACUGGCCUAGCUAACUCCCCGUGUGAUCGUGGAUCCUGCUUAUGUACACGCAUGACUGGGGUGCAGUGCGGGUGAGCAUUUGAGAGUUGACAUAAUUCUCCCAGGAUGUACUGAAGCUUUUGUUGAAAAUGUUCUGCUCCUGAACACAACAUAGAAGACAUUUUCCCUAUAGAGUCAAGAUCAAGCAGAUUUCAGCAGAAUUGACAAACUUGUCUGUGGGAAAUUCCAUGGACGAAGUCAAGAAACCAUCUGGAUCCAUCAGUCUUCUAAUACUUUCCCACCCUAUAGAAGUUAGGAGUGCCCAAGGACUUUAAAACUAACCAGAUAUUGAUCUGUCCACUACAAAGGCAUCCGAAAGAUACCUUCCAGUUUCAGAACACUGUUAUCCUGUCCAACAAAAACAAAAAAAACACAAAAAACCACACCAAGUUCACAUACGACCUACCACAUAUAUUGGCCCAGUUAUUCCGUUGGAUGGUUUCAUAGUUCUCAUGGCAACCAUUAAGUCCUGAGAUUUGGCAUGAAUGAAUGAAGUCCCCAAGUAACCAAAAUUUGGAGAUCCCAGACACCAGGUCUGAGACCACCUCUGCCAACUCAGUAAGAAAGACAGCAGAGUACACAACAGAAUCUCCAACCUGUCCCAACCAGUGUUCCUUCUAACAGGGAUUCCCAGAAAUUGUUGACUACAACUCCCAUAAUCCCCAGCCAAAAACCAUUGCAGCUGGUGAUGCUGGGAGUUGUAGUCAACAACAUCUGGAAAUCCCUGUUAGAGGGUACACUGGUCCCAACACUUGGCAUAUGCACAUGCUUGAAAUUCUUCAUCUGUUGGACAUGACACCUGAAGAGCAACAUGGAAUUCCAGUUGUUCAUAGACAUUCCCUUUGGGCCUUUGUUGCUCCUACGAAACCUGGUGGACAAAGCUUGGGCCGAGCUUAUUCUUCAGCAGUUAUAGAGAAAUAUAGCAACAGAGUAUAAUAUAUGUAAUCUUAGAAAAAGACAGAAUUAAUUCCCUAAGUUUAAAUAAAUGAGCAGGAAAUGGUUGUGUUUAGGGAUGUGCAUGAGCAGUUCGUGCAGCCACCGGCGAGGCGGGGAGCAGUUCCCUUAAAAAGCAGGUAAGGAGCUCCCGCUUUUCCAGCGGUGGCACCUGCUCUCCCAAAGGCCAUGUGUUUCUGAGGCGUUGUUCCUUGCAGCCU